CACGUUGCAACACAAUGAGAAGUAUAUUCUACUGUCAUUAACCACUAUCAGGUUACAACACCGUCAACUAUAAUCACAGUCAGGUUACAACACCGUCAACUAUAAUCAUAGAGAUGAAUGGAUAUACAGACCACGUUAGAAAUCACAAUACACUUCUUUAUGAUAUCUGCACUAAUUUCACAACAUCAAAAAUGUAAUGUGAGUCUAACAUCGAGAUCAUUACAGAAAAACAAUAACGCAGUAGGUUUGAUUGUUCUAUUCUUAGACAGGACAGACAUUUUUGGCUUCUUUCAUUGAACUUGAUAGAGCAGCUGUAUGGAUUAACAGCGGUAGUUACAGUCCAGCCGAAGGCCUAUCCGUCUCAGUUAAUAGAGCCUAGCCAUUCAUGUCAGCUUUUGUGGGAGAUGAAAGUGUUGUGUAUCCACAUAGCAAUUCACGGGACUUGAACAGAUAUCUCUUGAGUUGAAUGACUGCAAUUUUCAUUUAAAGCUAAAUGUAUUUUGCUAUAUCUGUCGACACCGUGGGGUCAUUUGUCUUUGAACAAUCUCUUCAUCCUAAAGGAAGCUAUGAAGCGGUCUCCAUUGUUGCUGGUUCUGUAUUUCCAGGUGUAAACCUAAAACAUAGGCCUACCCCAUUUUGUAUCUUUAUUUAACUAGGCAAGUCAGUUAAGAACAAAUUAUGAUUUACUAAUAUUGGCCUAGGAACAGUGGGUUAACUGCCUUGUUCAGGGGCAGAACGACAGAUCUUUGUCAGCUCAGGGAUUUGAUUUCGCAACCUUUCGGUUAGUAGUCCAACUCUUGAACCACUAGGCUACCUGCCGCCCCCAUGCAGGCUGGUUAGGUGAUGUGGCUAUAAGCCUACCCCAUGCAGGCCGGUUGAGUGAUGUUGCUAUUCAUCUAACUAACGUCCUAUCAAGUGAGCAAGUGUCCAAGAAAAUCCAGUGCUCCAACUAUAAUCAAUCAUGCUAUUGUCACACGCUCCAUCCAUUCAGGAAUCAGGGAAGCAUGGGCUCCUCCAACCUAUUCCGUAAAGGGACCAGGACAAAAGCAGUGCACUACAUAAGGAAUAGGGGGCAGACCUACAGUACGUUCAGGAGGCAGAUCUAAGAAUGUUUCGUUUUUCAUGAGAAUUGUUUAAGUCAUUUAGCAGACUCUCUUAGUUACAAUAAAGAGCAAGACGUGCCGCUCUGUUCUGGUCCAGCUGCGGUUUAAAUAGGUCUAUCAUUGUAGCUCUUGACCACAUGGCUGGACAGUAAUUAAGAUAAAACAAACUAGAGCCUGCAGGACUUGCUUUUUGGAGUGUGGUGUCAAAAGAGCAGAGCAUCUCUUUAUCAUGGACAUAUCUCUCCCUGUCUUUACAACCAUUGCAUCUAUAUGUUUUGACCAUGACAGUAAGUUAAUGGCAAGUAAUUUAGUCUCAUCAACUUGUUCAAAAGCCACAUCAUUCAUUACUAGAUUCAGCUGAGAUCUGGAGCUUAGGGAAUGUUUUUAACCAAAUACAAUGUGCUUAGUUUCAGAGAUGUCCAGGCCAGUUUAUUACUGGCUACCCAUUUUAAAACAGACUGGCAGAAAGCUUAAAUUGUUGUUAAUCUAACUGCACUGGCCAGUUUACGUUACAAUUUACAUGAGCUAUUACAGGGAAAUAAUAACAUGCUAUUGUUUGAGGUGAGUGCAAACGUUAUGAACGUGAAAAUGUAUUAAUAAACCAAUUAGACACAUUUGGGCAGUACUGAUACAACAUUUUCAAGAGAAAUGCAACGUUUCAUUGAAUCAGUCUUAAACUUUGCACAUACACUGUUGCCAUCUAGUGGCGAAAAUCGAAAUUGUGCCUAACCUGGAAUAAUACAUUAUGGCCUUCUCUUGCAUUUCAAAUAUGAUGAAAAGAAAUGGUUGUAUUUUUCUUUGUAUUAUCUUUUACCAGAUCUAAUGUGUUAUAGUAUCCUACAUUAAGUUCACAUUUCCACAAAAUUCAAAGUGUGUCCAUUUAAAUGGUAUCAAGAAAAUGCAAAUCCUUGCUUCAGGUCCUGAGCUACAGAGAGUCAGAUUUGGAUAUGUAAUUUUAAGCGAAA